GAUCAUGGCUCAGAUUGAACGCUGGCGGCAGGCCUAACACAUGCAAGUCGAACGGUAACAGAAAGCAGCUUGCUGCUUUGCUGACGAGUGGCGGACGGGUGAGUAAUGUCUGGGAAACUGCCCGAUGGAGGGGGAUAACUACUGGAAACGGUAGCUAAUACCGCAUAACGUCGCAAGACCAAAGGAGGGGGCCUCGGGCCUCUUGCCAUCGGAUGUGCCCAGAUGGGAUUAGCUAGUAGGG
rnacentral:rRNA from 1 species